rnacentral:rRNA from 1 species
GAUGAACGCUGGCGGCGUGCCUAAUACAUGCAAGUCGAGCGAACAGACGAUGAGCUUGUGCCUCUGACGUUAGCGGCUGACGGGUGAGUAACACGUGGAUAACCUACUUAUAAUUCGUGGAGAACUACGUGAAACCGGAUCUAAUACCGGAUAAUAUAUUGAACCGCAGGGUUCAAUAGUGAAAGACGGCUUUGCUGUCUCUAAUAGAUGGUUCCGCGCCGCAUUAGCUAGUUGGUAAGGUAACGGCUUACCAAGGCAACGAUGCGUAGCCGACCUGAUAGGGUGAUCGGCCACACUGGAACGGAGACAGGGUCAAGACUCCUACGGGAGGCAGCAGUAGUGAAUGUUCCGCAAUGGGCGAAAGCCUGACGGAGCAACGCGGCGUGAGUGAUGAAGGCUUUCGGUUCGUAAAGCUCUUUUUUUGGGAAAGAACAAAUGUGGAAGUAACUAUGCAGGUCUUGACGGUACCUAAUAAGAAAGCCCCGGCUAACUACGUG